GGAGGGACCGUCGGGGGGCGCCGCCGCCGCCUCCACUAGCAGCAGCGGCAGCAGCCCUAGUCCCGCGGUGCGGUCGAAUUGGUCCCCAGCCCUCCGGGAGCGCACCACAAAGCAGCCCCAACGCCUCUCCCUGCGUCCGCGGCUCCUCAGCGCUCGGCUCCGUGGUCAACUUCCCCUCGCUGGGCUCGGCUGGCGGGCGCGGAGGGCAGCGGCGGAACGGCGGGCUGUCUGCUCGCGCUCCCCGCGCACAACACUUCACCCUCUCGCCUCGGGUCUCGGGGGCCGCUCUGGGAUCCCGGCCACCAGCAAUUGUCCGGAAACAAGUUAAUACGCCCGUUUCCCUAAGUGGGUAAACUGAGGUCGUGAAAAGCUCUCAAAUUGAUGGAUACGCUUGAUCUUCUACCGCGCCUCGUGUCUGAGUAUAUGAAAGCGUUUAUGAGGAAGAACCCGUUCUCCAAAGCCCCGUGGAAAAGUUAAAGAUGCUCAUUUUACUUACAGGUUAACUGAAGUCCAAAAGAUGUCUAGG
rnacentral:lncRNA from 1 species